UACGUAGGGUGCAAGCGUUGUCCGGAAUUAUUGGGCGUAAAGAGCUCGUAGGCGGUCUGUCGCGUCGGAUGUGAAAUCCCGGGGCUUAACUCCGGGUCUGCAUUCGGUACGGGCAUGCUGGAGUUCGGUAGGGGAGACUGGAAUUCCUGGUGUAGCGGUGAAAUGCGCAGAUAUCAGGAGGAACACCGGUGGCGAAGGCGGGUCUCUGGGCCGAUGACUGACGCUGAGGAGCGAAAGCGUGGGGAGCGAACAGG
rnacentral:rRNA from 1 species